CGGAUUGAGAUACGAGUCAAUAAUAUAAUCUCUCCGGUGUUUAACAAGAAAAAUAGUGUUCUACACAAAAACUGCGCCCUUCUCUGCCCGCCGCCACCGGCCCAAUCUCCGGUCGCCGCCUCCUCCGGCGCAUGGAUUGGAAUCCCCUCGCCCCGGAAUCCCCGCUGCCGAACCUCUUCCCUUCCACGACCACAACCCUCAAGCGAUCCAGCUGAGCUGAGCACCAGAUCUCGCUGCGAGCCCUCCAUCAGCUCCCGCCGUCCAACCCACCUGCACCACCCGCAUCGGUGCCCCAGACAUCCUCCCGCACCGAUGCGGCGGAGAUCCUCCAGCCGCCGACAAGUCGGAGUCCCUGCCGCCACGGACGACGCAGAGCUCCUGAAGGACAGCGAGGUGACAAAUCCAGGUCCUGUCCAUGCCGAGCCUCUCCUAACGCGAGCUCAAGCGCCCGUCACCAUCUCACCUGAGGCUAGGUGAAGGACAUCCUCUCCAUUGCCUUAACAAGGAAUAGCUUCCAGUGUGUGCAUGGAUAACGGAAGAACAGGGGGAACAAAUGAGAAGGAAGAAGAAAACAACCAAUGGAUGGAGAAAGAUCUAUGACCAAUAGUAUACCAUUUUCUAUUGUACCAUGUCUUAUUAAUCUUAAGAUGGGCCUCUUAAAGUGCCAAUCCUUGCUACCGUCUACAUGAAUUAGUUCUUUAGUACAAUGCUCAAGGUUGGGUGUGUCUUUGUGAAACUGAUGCUUAUUGCAUUCAGUUUAGAAAUUGGUA